UAGGGAAUCUUCCGCAAUGGGCGAAAGCCUGACGGAGCAACGCCGCGUGAGUGAUGAAGGUCUUCGGAUCGUAAAACUCUGUUAUUAGGGAAGAACAAAUGUGUAAGUAACUAUGCACGUCUUGACGGUACCUAAUCAGAAAGCCACGGCUAACUACGUGCCAGCAGCCGCGGUAAUACGUAGGUGGCAAGCGUUAUCCGGAAUUAUUGGGCGUAAAGCGCGCGUAGGCGGUUUUUUAAGUCUGAUGUGAAAGCCCACGGCUCAACCGUGGAGGGUCAUUGGAAACUGGAAAACUUGAGUGCAGAAGAGGAAAGUGGAAUUCCAUGUGUAGCGGUGAAAUGCGCAGUGAUAUGGAGGAACACCAGUGGCGAAGGCGACUUUCUGGUCUGUAACUGACGCUGCUGUGCGAAAGCGUGGGGAUCAAACAGG
rnacentral:rRNA from 1 species